rnacentral:lncRNA from 1 species
UGUCCGCAAUCAUGCUGAAAUCAGAUUCCAAAGGAAAGUAUCUACGGUGAGCACGCCAGUUCACCUGUGGCUCUACCAACCGGUUCAAACCCGGUUCUCAAGUCUUAGGUUAAAUCUUGACAACGAUAAACCAAGGUUUCAUUUGACCAAAUGUGGACACACAAUUGGGUGUGCAAAUGAAUCCACUUACUUGUCAUGGCCCUGACUCUUGAGUAAAUGUGCAAAGCUGUCUUGAUCAGUUACAUGAUCAUGGCAAGCAAUGGAUCAUCACAAGCUCUACCAGGGCGAUGUGAAGACUGAAGAGAAGACUGACUCCAGCUUUAACAAGUUUACCUUCCCAGGAGGGUCCAGCACGUCAAGGUAAACAAUUCACACUCACAUCUUCACCGCAAGGUCUCCUGCCCCAUCUGCAAGCAUUCUUCCUGUGUAACAAAACAAGGGUGCCCUCACGGAAUGACAUGAGAAAGAGCAGUACAUAUUGACGAACACUGCUUUGUCGCCAUCAGAUCACACUGGCCCAAGUGACUCAGAGAGUACGGUAGACUUUACCUAAUGUGAUGGGCCUCUUCAGUCUGCCUCCUUGUUUCUACGAAAAGGAAUAUAGAUUCACUGCAACCCAUAAUAGCCAAGUAGCCAACUUGCUGCAAUAGUUGGUGAUGCUACAUGGCUUGAAGCUGACCAGUGAAGCUCGCCUUUAAAUUCUUCCUUAUGGUAGGCCCUGUGAGUUUGUUUGGCGAUUGCUCGCUUCAGAAGAAUCACCUUGAGCGUAACUGUGUAAGAAGGCUCACUACUGCCUGAGUGAAUAAGUUAAUUUAACCUGUUAUGAUCGAC